AUGGUAGGUUUUUAUUUUCCACUUCUCCAUGGUGACCUAAUGCCUAAAGAAGAAAUAGAUGAACUGCACAAAGACUCAGAUUACUUUGCUCUUUUCUGCCUAGUAAUUAUUUAUGAGCACACAGCUGCUAUAUUCUGCAAAGUUCAUAUCAAAAGACAUGAAAGUUGAAGGUAGGCAAAUAUGAGAAUGUAAAAUGUUAUGAGACAUUACCAAUGCAAGGAAAGUGUUCUGAGUUUGCCCUUCAAUCUGUUUGUAUUAACAUUGCAUGUAAUCUUAAACUCAUCUAAUUUUUCACAGAAAUUUCAUUAAAAUUUUCAUUUAAGUAUAUUUUCAUUUAAAUCUAUGCAGAAAUCCAGAAAAUCAUUCUGACUCACUGUCAUUUAUUCUUCGUGUAAGAAAUUAAUUUUCUCAAUAUCUGCAAUUUUAUUCAUCAAUGUUAAUUUAAAUUACUAGAAUUUUAGAUCCUUUGAAGAAAUUCAGUAAAUUGAUUACUUAUUUCUGUGAACUAACUGAAUAAUUCUGACAUGUCACACUUUUUGGAGACAGAGGGUUAACCGCAAUCCUUUGCAAGGGCUAUUUGGCUAAAA
rnacentral:lncRNA from 1 species